GACGAACGCUGGCGGCGUGCUUAACACAUGCAAGUCGAACGGAAAGGCCCUGCCUUUGUGGGGUGCUCGAGUGGCGAACGGGUGAGUAACACGUGAGUAACCUGCCCUUGACUUUGGGAUAACUUUAGGAAACUGGGGCUAAUACCGGAUAGGAGCUCCGGCUGCAUGGUGGGGGUUGGAAAGUUUCGGCGGUGGGGGAUGGACUCGCGGCUUAUCAGCUUGUUGGUGGGGUAGUGGCUUACCAAGGCUUUGACGGGUAGCCGGCCUGAGAGGGUGACCGGCCACAUUGGGACUGAGAUACGGCCCAGACUCCUACGGGAGGCAGCAGUGGGGAAUAUUGCACAAUGGGCGGAAGCCUGAUGCAGCAACGCCGCGUGCGGGAUGACGGCCUUCGGGUUGUAAACCGCUUUCGCCUGUGACGAAGCGUGAGUGACGGUAAUGGGUAAAGAAGCACCGGCUAACUACGUG
rnacentral:rRNA from 1 species